rnacentral:tRNA from 1 species
GCACGCGUAGCCUAAAGGAAAAAGCAAUGGCUUCCGAAGCCAGAGAUUGAGGGUUCGAAUCCCUCCGCGUGCUCCA